rnacentral:rRNA from 1 species
AUUGAACGCUGGCGGCAGGCUUAACACAUGCAAGUCGAGCGGGGGAAGGUAGCUUGCUACCGGACCUAGCGGCGGACGGGUGAGUAAUGCUUAGGAAUCUGCCUAUUAGUGGGGGACAACAUCUCGAAAGGGAUGCUAAUACCGCAUACGUCCUACGGGAGAAAGCAGGGGAUCUUCGGACCUUGCGCUAAUAGAUGAGCCUAAGUCGGAUUAGCUAGUUGGUGGGGUAAAGGCCUACCAAGGCGACGAUCUGUAGCGGGUCUGAGAGGAUGAACCGCCACCCUGGGACUGAGACACGGCCCAGACUCCUACGGGAGGCAGCAGUGGGGAAUAUUGGACAAUGGGGGGAACCCUGAUCCAGCCAUGCCGCGUGUGUGAAGAAGGCCUUAUGGUUGUAAAGCACUUUAAGCGAGGAGGAGGCUACUCUAGUUAAUACCUAGGGAUAGUGGACGUUACUCGCAGAAUAAGCACCGGCUAACUCUGUGCCAGCCGCCGCCGCGG